GUCUGGGUGGUGUAGUUGGUUAUCACGUUAGUCUCACACACUAAAGGUCCCCAGUUUGAACCUGGGCUCAGACA
rnacentral:tRNA from 1 species